UACGAGGGGUGCAAGCGUUAUUCGGAUUUAUUGGGCGUAAAGGGUGCGUAGACGGUUUGUUAAGUCUGCUGUCAAAUUCUCUGACUUAAUCAGAGCUCGGCGGUGGAAACUGGCAAUCUAGAGUGUGGAAGAGAGGAGUGGAAUUCCCGGAGUAGCGGUAAAAUGCACAGAUCUCGGGAGGAACACCAAUGGCGAAGGCAGCUCCUUGGUCCACUACUGACGUUGAGGCACGAAAGCGUGUGGAGCAAACAGG
rnacentral:rRNA from 1 species